rnacentral:rRNA from 1 species
GAUGAACGCUAGCGGCAGGCUUAAUACAUGCAAGUCGAGGGGCAGCACGAUUGUAGCAAUACAAUUGAUGGCGACCGGCAAACGGGUGCGGAACACGUACACAACCUUCCAAUAAGUGGGGAAUAGCCCAGAGAAAUUUGGAUUAAUACCCCGUAACAUAACGAUGUGGCAUCACAUUGUUAUUAUAGAUUUUUCGCUUAUUGAUGGGUGUGCGGCUGAUUAGAUAGUUGGCGGGGUAACGGCCCACCAAGUCUACGAUCAGUAGCUGAUGUGAGAGCAUGAUCAGCCACACGGGAACUGAGACGCGGGCCCGACUCCUACGGGAGGAAGCAGUAAGGAAUAUUGGACAAUGGACGCAAGUCUGAUCCAGCCAUGCCGCGUGAAGGAUUAAGGUCCUCUGGAUUGUAAACUUCUUUUAUAAGGGACGAAAAAAGGCUUUUCUAAGUCGUCUGACGGUACCUUAUGAAUAAGCACCGGCUAACUCCGUGCCAGCCGCCGCCGUAACAC